CCUACGGGAGGCAGCAGUGGGGAAUUUUCCGCAAUGGGCGCAAGCCUGACGGAGCAACGCCGCGUGAGGGAUGAAGGCCUCUGGGCUGUAAACCUCUUUUAUCAAGGAAGAAGAUCUGACGGUACUUGAUGAAUAAGCCACGGCUAAUUCCGUGCCAGCAGCCGCGGUAAUACGGGAGUGGCAAGCGUUAUCCGGAAUUAUUGGGCGCAAAGCGUCCGCAGGCGGUCUUGUAAGUCUGUCGUUAAAGCGUGGAGCUUAACUCCAUUUGAGCGAUGGAAACUGUAAGACUAGAGUGUGGUAGGGGCAGAGGGAAUUCCCGGUGUAGCGGUGAAAUGCGUAGAUAUCGGGAAGAACACCAGUGGCGAAGGCGCUCUGCUGGGCCAUAACUGACGCUCAUGGACGAAAGCCAGGGGAGCGAAAGGGAUUAGAUACCCCUGUAGUCCUGGCCGUAAACGAUGAACACUAGGUGUCGGGGGAAUCGACCUCCUCGGUGUCGUAGCCAACGCGUUAAGUGUUCCGCCUGGGGAGUACGCACGCAAGUGUGAAACUCAAAGGAAUUGACGG
rnacentral:rRNA from 1 species